GCUUCUGCAAAUGCUACGUCAACCGACAAAGACAAUCGAGUGCAUAAAAGGGGAGCCUUGUAUCGAUGAAUUUGUUACAGAAGCAAUUAUGCAGUUGCAGACUACUCAGCAGUUGUGCCUGGAGACUGGUGGUUGUUAAAUUUAAAUCUUAACCCCAAAUUUAUCCAAUGAAAAAGAGAAGGGACCAGGGGAUUCCCAACAAGGAUAUUUUAUUGUCCCACCGUAAGGAAAAUGUGGCAUGGACUUCAGAGCAUGAACAACGUCAGGUGUUAUCAGUAUCAAGCUACCAAAGAUGGGAGACACAUCCUUUAUGGGUUUUGAAGUAAGAACUUUUUUUCGAGAAAACGCAAUGACAUUGCGUUUCUUUUCAUUGCAUAGAAGAAGAGAAGAGGCCUCCUAAGAGGGUUAGUGCAGAAUUAAAGAUAUAGGGAUUAGUGCACGUCCCAGGUGGUUGGGAUGAUGUC